rnacentral:rRNA from 1 species
CAACGAAUAUUCCGCAAUGGGCGAAAGCCUGACGGAGCAAUGCCGCGUGUGGGAUGAAUCGGCUACGCCGUGUAAACCACUGUCAGGACCUAGGAACACUGACCAGGUCCAGAGGAAGGGCCGGCUAACCUCGUGCCAGCAGCCGCGGUAAUACGAGGGGCCCGAGCGUUACUCGGAAUCACUGGGCUUAAAGCGUACGCAGGCGGACUGGUAGGCAUUUUGUGAAACCCCACGGCUCAACCGUGGAACUGCAGAGUGAACCACCAGUCUUGAGGCAGGUAGGGGUCGAUGGAACCAUGAGUGGAGCGGUGAAAUGCGUAGAUAUUCAUGGGAACGCCAAUGGCGAAGGCAGUCGACUGGGCCUGUCCUGACGCUCAGGUACGAAAGCGUGGGGAGCAAACAGGAUUAGAUACCCCCGUAGUCC